GCCGGGAGACUGCACUGCUCAUGCCAGAGACCCGCUGAAAGGUCACCCCAGAAUGGCUGUGUUGGGAGGGGCUUGCUUAGCAGUGUGGGUCCUGAACUGUGAUCUUUAACUCUCCACUUUGGGGGGUAAAAGCAAGAGUAAAGAAUUCCAAAGGAGCCCCAAAUUCAGAUUUUUGGAAUGAUAAUAUAACCAGAAGUUUUUUUUUUCCUCUCUCUGAAUUACUGUAAACAGCAAGGAGACACAGCCCAUGCAGUUCUUUUAAAUAAGCAGUGAGAAGCCCCUGUGUCUUCCUGGAGGUUUGUAAGCAGAUGUUGCUGAGCCUGCAUCAGACUGGGUUUCUACAUCAUUUAAUCACUUGUCUUGACAUAUCACUUCCGGACACUGCUUGAACCUGUGCAGAAUGAGUUGAGGAGUUUUUUCUGCUACAAAUCCAAGUCCUUGGUUCCCGCCUUGAGUUCCUGUCCUGACUUCCCUUCACGAUAGUCUGAAAGCUGUAAGAUCAAAUAAACCCUUUCCUGAGUUGAUUUUGGUCCUGGUCUUCAUUCAGAUCAAUACAAACCUUAAAAAUGGAAACAACUCUGUCCUUGACCUUCAGAAAGAAAUUGACUUGCCUAGCUUAACUAUUCAAACAAACAACUGUAUACUCUCCUCAAUUCCUGUGAUGAUUUUGAUUUACUGUAAAUGACGGGAUUUAAUGAACUAAAUUAUGCUAUUUAAAUGCAUUUUGUGAAUGGUACUGUAGUUUGUUACAAAGCAUUAUGUCUAUGCUAAAUUGUGCUGUAAACGAUAUGGUACGGAACAUAUGUGCUGUACUCAUAAUUUAACCGUUGUUCUGCAG
rnacentral:lncRNA from 1 species